rnacentral:lncRNA from 1 species
CUCGGCACUGCAGGACUGGUUGGUGUCCAGUUCAACUCUGUCCCUGACACAGGACCCUGUGCUCAGACUGCCCAGCCCUGCCUCACACACGAGAUGUGUUUUCUCUGGAUACGUGCUGGCCUCCUGUCUCGUCCAUCUGCAGUCCAGCAGCAGGAUGGAUAAAGGAUGAACCCGAUCAUCUCACUCCCUGGUCACAUCCCUCCCAUGGCUUCUGCAUCAUCGGGUUCUUUGCUGUAACCACAGAAGCCCACCCCUCCAGUUGCAUUAAGCAGGAGUAGCUCAUUACAGAUCACGUUUCUCCAACUCCCAUUACACACAAAUCCCCAGGGGUCUUGAUGAAAUGCAGGCCCUGACCAGUAGGUCUGGGCUGGGGUCUGAGACUGUGCAUUUCCAACGAGACCCAGGGGAAGCGGAUUCCUUGGGGCCAGUGUGGACAUCAGGAAGCUCCCAACCCUUUGUGGGACAGAGACUCAGUGGCUACAAGUGUCCAGCCCACACCAGGGACUGCUCUGAAGAAGGCCAUUCAACCAGACCCCACAGCUCGCCCUGAUGACCCCAGGAGGGGACAUCAACUUCCUUCCCAUUCCCCCUGAAUCCACCAGGCCUUUCUAGCUCCUGCGCCCACACAUGGACCUGCCCAGCGCCAUCUUCUCACCCUCUUCCUGAGCAGAGGCUCAAGGGAGACUUCUGAUUGGUUGAGCCUGGGUCACAUGAUGGGAUUCGGGUCACAUGAGGGGCCUGACUGCAAGGGAUGCUGGGAAAUGGAGUCUGGUUUCCUCCUUGGAACUGUGCAAGGCAGCAUGAGGGACGUGUGCAUGUAGGAAGGGCACUCACAGGGAUCAUCAGAGGCCACAAAAUGCCCACGGCAGCUUCUCCCAGAGCCCGAACUCUGACAAGACUCCAGGCCCCUUCCUGUGCAUCUCAGCACAUGCCUCCUUCACACCAACCAGGCCCAUCCCCAACUCAUGUCUGGAAUAUUCUCCUCACACAUCUCCUUCCAGGCCUCAGCCAGAAUGUCACCUCCUCAGAGAGCUUUCCUGACCAUCCCAGUCAUUUCACAACAUGAUACCCAAAUCCAAGGCAGCAGACUGAAAAACCUGCCCAGAAGGUUCCCCAAUGCCCUCCCCCUUUCAACAUGAGACUCUAAAAUGUCUUUCCAAGGCCAUCCCAGCCAGACACCAUGACCCCAGCGGAUCUGGUCCAUGGAUGCUCCCAGGCAUCUCCCAAACACAGACAGGGCUCCUCCCAGAAGGUAUAUUCUGGAAACGAAUCUGAGUCUGCGCUGCUACCUGUGUCUGUGCAUGUGGCUUCUUCAAAAGUCUGGAUUCUUUGCCAGUGCCCUUCUCUGCCAGCGUGAUCAGAGUUCUUGGCCCCAGCAUUUAACCAGAAUCCACUGUGCAUGCUACCACGCUGGACUUCUCCAUGCAUGACACUUUUAAGGGGCCUGCCCCUCAGCAAACACGGAUGCUGGAGGUGAUGCAGGUGCCCAGGGUGGGGAGGAAGCCUCAGGACUGGGGUCUGUCUGUCUGCCUUCCUGAAGCAGGAUGGACAUGUUCUUCCGUGUUUAAAUAGCAAAUCAUUUCCCUACGCUCAAAAAAUGAGCCCAGUGAUUCAGGGAAGGAAGGAAGAUAGGGGCCAGUGGUGCUGGGCAUGCUGGGUCUCUCAGCUGCUGCCUAUUGUGGGAGGGGCUGUGGUGAUGGAAGUGGGUCCAUCCCCACAGCCGGCGGCAGGAACAGCAGAAUGGCCUUCUAGCGUCUCCUGCAUGACUGGAGACCUCUAGCUGGUGUGUCUCCAGGAAGGACGCUGGCUCUGGCAGGAUGUAUCCAGGGACCUGGAGCCCCUCUGUGUGCAAUAAAUGGAUCAGACUUGAAGAGCACGGACAGUGGGUGGAAGAGAUGCCUGCUGGGACUGAGCCGCAGUGGACACCUGGGGUGGUGCUGGAUGCUAAGGGACUCCUGGAGGGUCCCCUCAUCUGUCCAUGCACACACUCACUCCCUCACUAAGUUUGGGUAAAGGGAGACAGGUCUCAGGAACAUGGAGGAUGGGACGGGCAGGGUUGGGGAAAGAGAAGGGAGUGGACAGAGGGCGAAGUCACAGCAUCACCCAGGUGAAUUGAAAGUAAGUUUAGAAGCAGGUGAGAGCCAUGAAGAUGGAAGCCAGGGAUAGGGAGGGGGGAAGGUGAAGGCAGAGCUGUUGGGAUGAUAGAGAAAUCAAAGUUCUUAAUCCCGGCUCAUUCAAACACUUGUGAUCCCACUCCCCAGGGAGCUGCGGGCAGUAGUAGUGAGGGUGCCCCCAGGGUAGGCAAGAGAUCAGAGGAGUGAACUGGAAGAGGCUGGAUCCCUCAGCUCUGCGGCUGAAAUGAGGAAAUUCUUCCUAACAGGCAAGCCUGGACAUCAAAGCAUGAAAGAGAAAAAUCUUGGUCCCCAAAGUAAGGCUCUGUUUCCUUUCAUGCCUAGGAUCUUCCCAUUAGAGUAGGCUGACCAACUCAAAUAAAGUCAGAAUCAUGGAAACACCUAUAAUUCUUGAAAAUUGUAUUUUACCAUAAAACGUAUAAAUGUACACUUUUUUUGCUAAUAUUUUUAGUGUGGGUUUGAUAGCUGGAGAUCUGCCCCCUAUCUCUUACAUCUCUUGCACCCAUAAUAUGUCCAAG